CCUACGGGUGGCAGCAGUGGGGGAUAUUGCACAAUGGGGGAAACCCUGAUGCAGCGACGCCGCAUGUGGGAAGACGGCCCUCUGGAUUGUAAACCACUGUCCCCAGGGACGAAGAUGACGGUACCUGGGGAGGAAGCUCCGGCUAACACCGUGCCAGAAGCCGCGGUAAUACGUAGGGCGAGAGCGUUGUCCGGAGUUACUGGGUGUAAGGGGAGCGUAGGCGGGGAGGCAAGUUGGGGGUCAAAACUGCCGGCUCAACUGGUAGUCGCACCCAAAACUGGAGCGCUGGAGUGAAGUAGAGGCAGGCGGAAUUCCUAGUGUAGCGGUGAAAUGCGUAGAUAUUAGGAGGAACACCAGUGGCGAAGGCGGCCUGCUGGGCUUUUACUGACGCUGAGGCUCGAAAGUGUGGGGAGCAAACAGGAUUAGAUACCCUGGUAGUC
rnacentral:rRNA from 1 species